UACGUAGGGGGCGAGCGUUGUCCGGAAUUACUGGGCGUAAAGCGUGCGCAGGCGGUUCGUUGUGUCGGCGGUGAAAGCCCCGGGCUUAACCUGGGAAUGGCCGUCGAAACUGGCGAACUGGAGUGUGGCAGAGGGGGGUGGAAUUCCGCGUGUAGCAGUGAAAUGCGUAGAGAUGCGGAGGAACACCGAUGGCGAAGGCAGCCCCCUGGGCUGACACUGACGCUCAGGCACGAAAGCGUGGGGAGCAAACAGG
rnacentral:rRNA from 1 species